CUAGAGUUUGGUAGGGGAGACUGAAAUCCUGGUGUAGCGGUGGAAUGCGCAGAUAUCAGGAGGAACACCGAUGGCGAAGGCAGGUCUCUGGGCCAAUACUGACACUGAGGAGCGAAAGCGUGGGGAGCGAACAGGAUUAGAUACCCUGGUAGUCCACGCCGUAAACGGUGGGCGCUAGUUGUGCGAACCUUCCACGGUUUGUGCGACGCAGCUAACGCAUUAAGCGCCCCGCCUGGGGAGUACGAUCGCAAGAUUAAAACUCAAAGGAAUUGACGGGGCCCCGCACAAGCAGCGGAGCAUGCGGCUUAAUUCGACGCAACGCGAAGAACCUUACCAAGGCUUGACAUAUACAGGAGUAUGGCAGAGAUGUCAUAGCCGCAAGGUCUGUAUACAGGUGGUGCAUGGUUGUCGUCAGCUCGUGUCGUGAGAUGUUGGGUUAAGUCCCGCAACGAGCGCAACCCUCGUUCUGUGUUGCCAGCAUUAAGUUGGGGACUCACAGGAGACUGCCGGGGUUAACUCGGAGGAAGGUGGGGAUGACGUCAAAUCAUCAUGCCCCUUAUGUCUUGGGCUGCACGCAUGCUACAAUGGCUGGUACAAACGGCUGCGAUACCGCAAGGUGGAGCGAAUCCGAUAAAGCCAGUCUCAGUUCGGAUUGGGGUCUGCAACUCGACCCCAUGAAGUCGGAGUUGCUAGUAAUCGUAGAUCAGCAACGCUACGGUGAAUACGUUCCCGGGGCUUGUACACACCGCCCGUCACAUCACGAAAGUCGGUAACACCCAAAGUCAGUGGCCCAACCGUAAGGAGGGAGCUGCCAAAGGUGGGAUCGGUGAUUGGGAUGAAGUCGUAACAAGGUA
rnacentral:rRNA from 1 species